rnacentral:rRNA from 1 species
UGGGGAAUAUUGCACAAUGGGCGCAAGCCUGAUGCAGCGACGCCGCGUGGGGGAUGACGGCCUUCGGGUUGUAAACUCCUUUCGCUAGGGACGAAGCUUUUUGUGACGGUACCUAGAUAAGAAGCACCGGCUAACUACGUGCCAGCAGCCGCGGUAAUACGUAGGGUGCGAGCGUUGUCCGGAAUUACUGGGCGUAAAGGGCUCGUAGGUGGUUUGUCGCGUCGUCUGUGAAAUUCCGGGGCUUAACUCCGGGCGUGCAGGCGAUACGGGCAUAACUUGAGUACUGUUGGGGUAACUGGAAUUCCUGGUGUAGCGGUGAAAUGCGCAGAUAUCAGGAGGAACACCGAUGGCGAAGGCAGGUUACUGGGCAGUUACUGACGCUGAGGAGCGAAAGCAUGGGUAGCGAACAGG